rnacentral:rRNA from 1 species
CCCUAGUAACUGCGAGUGAAGCGGGAAAAGCUCAAAUUUAAAAUCUGGUGGUCUUUGGCCAUCCGAGUUGUAAUCUAGAGAAGUGUUACCCGCGUCGGACCGUGUACAAGUCUCCUGGAAUGGAGCGUCAUAGAGGGUGAGAAUCCCGUCUUUGACACGGACUACCGAGGCUUUGUGGUGCGCUCUCAAAGAGUCGAGUUGUUUGGGAAUGCAGCUCAAAAUGGGUGGUAAAUUCCAUCUAAAGCUAAAUAUUGGCGAGAGACCGAUAGCGAACAAGUACCGUGAGGGAAAGAUGAAAAGAACUUUGGAAAGAGAGUUAAACAGUACGUGAAAUUGCUGAAAGGGAAACGCUUGAAGUCAGUCGCGUUGGCCGGAAAUCAGCCUUGCUUUUGCAUGGUGUACUUUCUGGUUGACGGGCCAGCAUCAGUUUUGACCGGUGGAAAAAGUCYAGAGGAAGGUGGCAUCUUCGGAUGUGUUAUAGCCUCUGGUCGUAUACAUCGAUUGGGACUGAGGAACUCAGCACGCCGAAAGGCCGGGUCUUUGACCACGUUCGUGCUUAGGAUGCUGGCAUAAUGGCUUUAAUCGACCCGUCUUGAAACACGGACCAAGGAGUCUAACAUGCCUGCGAGUGUUUGGGUGGAAAACCCGAGCGCGUAAUGAAAGUGAAAGUUGAGAUCCCUGUCAUGGGGAGCAUCGACGCCCGGACCAGAAGUUUUCUGACGGCCCUGCGGUAGAGCAUGUAUGUUGGGACCCGAAAGAUGGUGAACUAUGCCUGAAUAGGGUGAAGCCAGAGGAAACUCUGGUGGAGGCUCGUAGCGAUUCUGACGUGCAAAUCGAUCGUCAAAUUUGGGUAUAGGGGCGAAAGACUAAUCGAACCAUCUAGUAGCUGGUUCC